AAAAGAUCGCUUACCUUCGUCGUGACUAUACACAGGCAAUCCAUUCUUCAACACGAAACAGGUGGCCGUGUCUUCCAGAGGGGGAUUUCGUGCAUCGGAGACUGUGGCAUUCGGGGGCAUGCAGGCAAGAACUAGUCCUGACGAAGGGUCUUGGCCUGAAACGUCAACUGUGCUUCUACCCAUGGAUGAUGUCUGGCCUGCUGCGUUCCACCAGCAUUUUGUGUGCGUUGCUUGAAUUUCCAGCAUCUGCAGAUUUCCUUGUGUUUGCGAGAAUAACAAGAUGUCGGGAGGGAAGGAGUACAAGUGAGGUGACAGGUACUGCAGCAGGGGCCCUCAACUAACAGUUAGGAGGGGCUAUCCCCCAUUGCUAGACAUUUCUUCUAGCUCAACCCAGGAUCAUCUAGAGACGCCAGCCUUGGAAUCACACCUUCGUUACCUUGUUUUUUAUUAUUUGUGUUUCUUGGCUCUUAUUUGUUCAGAGAGUAGAUCGAUUAAGUUAUAUUCUGCAAAUUUCAAUGAUAUACUAACAGAUAAAUACACAUGGCUAAGGACAAAGUAAAAUUCAUUUCUUUUAAUGUCAAUGGGCUG